UCUCGAAAGGGCCAUAAAAUCGGGGGUUUACUUUUUUAUUCGGGCGUGAUGCCAACAAAUGCAAUCGGUAUGGUUAAAGCUUCAAAAAGACCCAAUCUCCUCCAACAAACUCAACCUCUUUACGACCUCUGUUUGUUAUCCUCUUCAUGCGCUCUGCAAAUUGAGUUUCAGUUUACCUAGCACUAAGUUUCUCUCUCUGAUGAGAGCAUUUACUCCUUCUAUCCUUGAGUCUUCUUCAACCCAUCUAAAAAUUGGAAAGGGAUUCCUCCCAUAUACAGUUUUAAAUGGUGUUGUAAUAUUCCUAAAUUAAUAAAAGGGCAAUUUGGCCAUUUUGCUAAUUAUUUGAAUAAAAAUAUGUAUGUAUAUUUAUAAGCCACUUGUUUAGGUAAAAGAUUAUGAGAAACACAGAGUCUAUUUCCCACCAUUUGUGCGCAGGCGUAACGCAUUCUUCCUGCCAUUUAUUCUUGUCUGAGUAACGCUUGCUAGAUAUAACUCUCCUGGAAGCCGUUUUGGAGGAAUAACGACAUAAAAGAAAAGAAACAGUUUUCCAGAGGGCUCUCUGCUGGGUUUUCAUAUUUGUUUCUUUUGCACAAAGAAAAGUAUUCUCAUCUUCACUACAUAGUUGUUACAUUGCCAGCAACAUUUUCUUACGCAGCCAAAGAGAAAGAAGAAUCUUCUGUUCGCCGGUCAGAGAAAGCGGUCAUCGAGGAGACUACUGCCACGCGAAGACGGACGUGAUCGCCGGAGGAGAGGUAGGGAAAAAUAACGAGGCAGGCGGGGAGGCGAGUAGAUCAACACGUUGAACUGCGCUUUGGCUAUAUUUAUUUUAUUUCUAUUCUGAUCAUUUUCACAAUAAUUUAUUUUAUGGAAUCCACGCAUUCUGGAACUAUCAAUCUAUUUAUAUUCACUGAAUUUUAAUUUGAGACAUUUUGA